UAGGGAAUCUUCCACAAUGGGCGAAAGCCUGAUGGAGCAACGCCGCGUGUGUGAUGAAGGGUUUCGGCUCGUAAAACACUGUUGUAAGAGAAGAAUGACAUUGAGAGUAACUGUUCAAUGUGUGACGGUAUCUUACCAGAAAGGAACGGCUAAAUACGUGCCNG
rnacentral:rRNA from 1 species